GGGGGGGGGGGCGGGCAGGGCAUGAGCAGAGCUGCACGCUAGCAGGUCCAGGCCCCAGUUGGGUCUCUGACUACAAAGAGCCUCGGCCUGGGAGACUCCCUGGGGGACCUCGGGCCUUGGCUUCCCCAGUGAACAGAGAGCAGCUGGACUUGAUGCUGCUAAAGAUGCUUUGUAACUGAGCUCUCUGAGCGGGGGUGUGGGAGAGAGACAGAGGGCGAGAAAGCACAUGGUUUCUUGCAUGUGGGCACCAAACCCUUCCCAGGGCUGCUCACCCACCCCAGGACCUGUCCUGGGACCACCCAGUGUGGCCUGAGCCGGCACGGCCCCCGGGAGCAUUUGUUGUGUGUCGGGGGUCACCGGUAACCCUGUCUCACUUCUGUCACCCUCAGUAGUUCCCUGGAGACCAGAAGCAGCCUGUCCACUGACUGCUACGGGUACCGUCGCUCCCUCCACUCUGGGCCCACUGUUCCCAUCGGCACCGCGGGUGGGCCCCAGGAGGCAUCAAGGGAAAUUAGUCCCCCCAUUGGGCCCUCAAACUCCCCCAGGGACCAGCAGUACUGCUGACACAUCCCCUGAGGACUAGUCCAGCUAGGAAUGGUCCCUCAGGGGCUCGGCUAAGGGUUCCUCUGAGAACCAAGGCUGGUGGUCCCUCUGAGGGCCAGCCCACAGCUGCCCGUUCCCGUGACGCCCAGGCUGCAGCCCAGGGGCCAAGCGGACGCUUCCAGUUGGUUUUCCGAUCGCGGUUCGUGGAAGCCGGGGUGUCUGAGGACCUCUGCCUUCACAUGGCUUUUGGAUCUUGUCGUUUCUACGAGAUGUCUUCAGAAGGAGGCAUUGUCUAACGUUACAAGAAGGGGCCAGAGACUGAGGCACACAGGAAGGUCCCCUGGAUCGGAGGUCAGCCGAUCUCUGCUCACAGGCUGGGGCCACAAAAGACCAGGAAGGGGCAGCUGGCUGGCCCCGGCGCGACGUUGGCAUGGGGAGCCACGUCCAGUGUAGCGGCAUGAGUCGGGGAGGGGUGGACUGGGCCACGCCGACUGGAAAUAGGCGCGUCCCUCUCCGUGGGCGGGAGAUGCACCACUGCCAGGAAAGGGCAUAUACCCGGUGAGGAGCCACAGGGCUGGAUGUGGCCGGGUGUGCCCAGCCAGGGAGGGUGAGGCAGAGGGCCCGGCGGAGCUGAGUUGCACCAAGGGGCCCGAACGGCCGAAAGCAGGCCCAGUGGCCUUAAGCCCCCUGCACUGGCGACACGACAGGGCCUGGGCCCCCUGUGCAGAGGGCGGGUCUAGUAGUUGCUCCCCUGGGACGAGAUGGUCAUGGCCACCAGCUCUGAGACCCUAAAGCUGCCUGAGGCUGUGAGAAGGGCAGAGGGGUGCUUUCCUGAGCCAGCGUGGGGCUGGCGGCUGCCGGCACACUCCAAUAACCCUGUAGGGGGACGCUCCACGGCCACAGCCACACGUGACGCUAACAGGCGUGCGCGGGUGCCGCGAAAGCUGACGGUGUCCUACUUCCUCACGAGCACUCGGAACGGGUUGGUGUUAGCCCGUUUCACAGAAGUCGCUGGUUCAGGAUUCUCAGCUGGCCAGCAGAGCCGGACUUGAACCCAGAUCCUGCUGUGAACGCUGCCCAAGGCCACAAUACACUCCUUGCCCCCGUGGACACACCUCAUACCCUCAGCUCUUGGCACAGCGCUUUGCACAGUCUCACACACACCGCGUGCAGAGCAUCGGCACCCUCCAUUCCUCACACGGGCGGACCCUCACUCCAUCCCUCCUGUGCGUGGACUCACCCCCCCCCCCGACCCCUGGCCACGCUCUGUUUUUGCAGGCUCACAGCUGGACGCCCCUGCCUGGCCGGCCCGGGGUGCUGGGCAGGUGUAUGGGUGUCUGUGGCAGAACGGGCUGAGCCCAGGGUGAGAGGCUCACGAAACUCCUGUAAACCAGCUGAGCCACCGGCUUCUCUGAAAGCCACCAACAUGUCAGAUGGCGGUGUGGCUCCACCCGCUUUGUCUACCCCCGCCAGCCAGCUAGUCAGCACUCUGCUAGGGGCCAGGCCGGAGAAGCCUCUGGAACGAAGGGGGGCAGGGGGUGAGGCUUUUGUCCCAGAGUGUCUGGGGGUUGGGUGGGGACUGUCACGUGUCCCCCUGCCCCCUCAGGUUUAACCCAGACCCAGCUCUCGCCAGGCCUGGCAGGCGGCCAUGGUCAGGGAGUGGCCAUAGUAAUCACCCCCCUGAGGCUGGCCACACUUGGCCAGUGCCUUCACAGUCCUAGAGGACCAAGCUAGGGGUCAGAGCAGACAGCAGGACCACCCUCAGCUCUGCCCUUUCCCCUCCUCCCCCCAGCCCUUAUUUCAGGUGUCAGGUGCUUGCUACACCAUGGUCAACAGCGCUGCCUUUGCUGGGCUACUGUGUCAGGCGGGGGAUCAGGCAGCAAAGGAACAAAGGAAUCAGGUUUUAAUAUACUGUGUCGGGUGGCAAAUGCUAUGAAGGAAAAGAAAUCGGGGUGAAGGGGACAGAGAGCGAUCGGAGGGUGGCCAGGGAAGGUCUGUGAGGAAGUGCCGUUUAACCAGAGACCAGAAGGAACGUGGGGGUGAGUCCCAUGACUGGAGGAAGCGCAUCCAGGUGGUGGAGAUGGCCAGUGCAAAGGUCCUGCCUGAGGUGGCGCAUGCUUGGCCCAUUUGAGGAACAGAAAAGAGGCAGGCGCUAAACAGGAUCUGCCCCCAUUCCUGUGAUCCUGCAGUCCCACGCGUCCUGACUUCUGACCCUCACAGCAGCCUUGGGACACAGGCAGAGCCAGGCUCGACGUUCGCAUUUCACAGAUGAGGAAAACUUGAGAUGCAGAGACCAGAGGAAUAUUGGUGCCAGAUCCAGGCCUGGGACCCAGGGCCCUCACCUACCCCUACCACCACCUGGCCUCUGUGCCCUUUUCGUGCAGCAGGGUCACCAGCUCUGCUGUGGGAGCCUCUGGGAAACCUGGCCCUCAGGCCCCAGUGGAGGGGAGGAGGUGCCAUUCGAGGUCCUGGAGGCCCCAUUCACGGCUUGGGAAUUCAGAAACAAAGGUCCCAGCCAGUAAUUGCCUCCUUUCAAAGGCACAGCCGGCUUCCUCUGCCACAGGCGUGAGGGGGAAGCUGAUGUCCUUGUCCGGGGGAGAGGGGCGGGGCAGCACUCCACGGGGCCUGUGCUACCUUGGCAAACAGGCCAACAGGCUCAUCACCCUUGGCAGAUGGCCACUGUCACCCUCCGUCCCCAUCUACCCCGCAGUUACCAGGCCGGUUAUCCAGUGGCUCGUCUCUCCCCAGCCCCAGAACAGCGUGGGGCUUCCUGGGUCCAGCUUGGACCCAUCCUGUUGAUGCUGGGUGUGCCCUUUCCCUCACUGGGCCUCCCUCUCCUUGUUUAUACAAGAGGAGGCUUGGACUGAGCCAUUUUAAAUGCCCUUCCAGUUCUGACUGUCCACGAUGGGACAUUUCUGAGAGAGCUACUCUCCGAAGCAGGGGAGGGAUCAUUCUCUGGCGUGGGGGCUCUCCUGAGCCCUGGGGGAUGUUCAGCAGCAUCGAAAUGCCACUAGAUGCCAGUAGCACACUCCUUCCCGGUUGUGGCCACCCCAGACUUCUCCAGACAUUGCCAAGUGUCUCCUGGUGGCGAGGGGGACGGUGCCCUAACAGCCGCUGGGUGAGAAGCUCUGCUCAGCAUGUUUGCCAACAGCAGACAGAAAACUGCCCUCCUGAGCCCGUUGACCUUGUUCUUGGGCUUUGCCGGAGCACGGGGCUGGGGUCAGGCCCCUGAAGCCUGGCAGGCUUGCUCAGCGCCGGCUCCCAUCUGCGGCCGAUGUCUCCUGGAUGUCACCCCUCACCCACGGGCAUAUAGUCUUUUCUGAGCCUCAGCUUCCCCAUCUUCCAGCAGGGGAGGGUUGUAAGGAUGCCGAGGGACCACCGCUUUGUAAAUGAUGUUGAGCAAACCGGGGACCUGAAGGAGCAGAGGUGUGAGCGUGCUGUGCUUUGUGGGUCCAGACCCUUCCAUUCUGCUACCCAAGAUCCUUUGUUCCUUCAACUAAUGAUGACAGGGUGCCAGCGGUGGGCGAGGCGUGAGGCUGGCCCAUGAGCUGGGCUGUGAAAGGAGGGGCGUGGGCCCUGCCCGGGAGAUGCCCAGGAGAUGCUCGUGCCUCAGCCACAGCAGAGAGGCAGAAGACGAGUGAAUAAAUGGGAUCGUUUCAGAGGAUGGCAUGUCCAGGGGAGAGAAUGAGACAGGGUGUAGGGUGAAGGAGGCUCGGAUGGUCAGAGAAGGCUCUGAGGAGGUGUUGGAGGUGAUACCUGUUGGAUGAUGAGUCUCUGCCCUGGGGGAGGGGGCACCCCCAGCAGAAAGCCCUGCACAGAAGACCUGAAGGGGGUCAGGGGGUGCGAAGGGGGCCAGGUGUCUGGGAGUCGGGAGCCUCAGAGAGGUCAGAUGGUAUGGUGUGUCAGUCCAUCAGCAGGAGCCGGUCACCAGUCGGGAGUUUGGCCUUUAUUCUGAGAGCAGCGUGGGGCCACAUGAGGGUGUGGCCAAAUGACACGAAGGUCCCUGUGGCUGGUGUAUAGGGAAUGGUCCCUAAAGCGGUCAGAGCAGAACCAGGACCCACAGGCAGGGAUGGAGAGAGAGGCCCGGCUGGUGCUUCUGCUCCGUUGCCUGUGACUGCCAGGUCCUGAGGCCGCCGAGCCACCCACUCUGCCUGUCCCCCCCCCCCCCCGCAUCCCCCCACCCCGCUCCUGCCCAGCAGCCCCUGGCUGGCCUCGGCCCCUCAGCCCAGCCCAGCAGCUCCUCUCCCUGCCUCCCUCACUAGCUACAGGAGUUCCCCUCCCGGCAGCCAAUGAGCAGCUGUCAUCGAGGUUCCAUUUUAGAUUUUAUCAAUGUGUCCCUGUCGCCCGGGCAACCGCUCCUGGCGGCCCUGUCAGUCUUUCUCCGCCUGCCUUUCAGAGCCAAGCUGCUCCCACCCACACCAUGUGGCUAUGUGGUGAGUUCUCGCUCACUCGGGCCGGACCAGGAUUCCACCAAACGUAAUUGAUCUGGGUGUCAAGGUCAGCGUUUGUCUGUCAUUUCGCCCCCUCCUUGCCUCACGCCCGGGUCUUUGGGGCCUGAGCCACUCUGGGCCAGGCAGGCAGGUGGCCGACUGCCCGGCCAGGUGCAGGCACGGCCGCCAAGUGUCCGGGGCCUGGCUGGAAGAAGGGGCUUGGGGAACGGCCAUCAGGAGCCCCCAGCAUCCAGGCCCCCCAGGAUGACAGUCCAGGGGCCCCUGCAGCUGGGCACAGCCAGGGCUGCCUCGGCGUACCCUGGGGACCCGCAGAGGAGCCCCAAGAAGAACCAGCCGCCAGAGACAGCAGCAGUCUAAGACUGGCCGGGUGAGCCGCACCAACGAGUUGCUAGGCUUUUGUGCGCGCUGCUCUUUGUAUUGGAGGCGUGUGCUCUAGGAGCGGGCUGGGCAGGGCCGGGCCAUGUGAGUGGGGGCUGCGGUGGGACCAGGGUGGGCCUGCGUGGCCAGUCCCCCAACCACCCCCAAACCCUCUCCAACCCCGGUGGAGGAGCCACAGUGGUCCGGCUGGAGACUGAAAGGUGAAAAUGCUCAAGUUCAAGGCCUUUUGCCUGGAUUACUGGCAGUUCCUGUGCCUGCAGCCGCUGCAUGGAGUCUAUAAAAGGUAUGUGGACGGUCUGGGGAGGACCUCUGCCAUAGGGCAGGGGGCUGUGAGGUAAAGUCCCCCCCACACCCUGGCCUGCCCACUGGAGGGCCUUCCCAGGUCGGCCCAGGGUCCUUGCCACUGGCCAAGAACGGCGGCGGCCUGUGCUGUGGGUCACUUUGCAACUUGGCGUGAUUGUCCCCUCCUCUCCCUCCGGCCCUGAAACCGGUAAGCUUUCUGCAGGGAAGUGGUCACCCCAGAGUGUUCUGUGGCCAAAUGCUGCUUUCAUUGUUUCUUGCUGUUGGGGUCCUCCCUGGAGUGGACUUGAUCCUGGGCAGGUGUGACCCCACAGGAGGGCAGCCUGGCCCUGCCAGGGUACAUUCCCUCCAGCCUAAUGGGUGGCUCAUCUGAUUAACAGGCAUGACUACCUGGAUACCAAGCAGGAAUUUGAGAACUGUUUGGGGAGGCUGAAUGGGGGAUUCCUGGUCUGGAGGUCAGGAGACCAGACUUCAAGUCCCUUCCCUUGCUGUGUGACUUUGGGCAGGCUGCUUUCCCUUGCUGAGCCCCGGUUUCCCCAUCUUUAGGUAUUUGGAACUGAUAACAGCAGCAUUUGGGGACUGCUCCCUGAAAUGAUGCAGGCUGCCAACACCAUGCGUUCAAAUGUUAACAAACCUGACAAUAUGGUCUGCACGUGUGUUCUGUCCGCUCGCACCCCUUGGCCGAGAAACACCGGUGCCUAGGCCAGCAGGAGGGGCAUCGUGGAGCCAUCCCCGUGGUCGCCUUGAAAGAUCUGGGAGGAGGGAAUCAGAAUACCAGCUAUUCUGAGGGAAUUAGUUUUUCCUGAUUUCACACUCUGUGAAUUCCAUGGGCAUUAGCAUGCGAGCAGUUCUGGGAAAGUGUGGGAGCUUUUCUUUUCUCUUCCAGGGGCUUUCUGCAAAGGGGGCGGGCACUGAGGGUCUCACGGCAGCCUCAGAAAGGAAGUCCCUACUCUUGGGCGGGUGCCAGCGACAGAGGCCUGUCCUGCAUCUGAUUAGCACGGCCACAUCUGAGCGGAAGGCCACACCAGGUGGGAUGUGCACGCUGUGCAGGUGGAUGAGUCUUCACCCCCCACUUUGGGGAGUUUGUUGUUAGAGCCUUGGGGCACCUGGCGUAUUCUGGCUGUUGGUUAUUGACUGCUGAGGGCGGGGCACUUUACCUGAUCGUUAAACCCUCAUCCCUUCUGCAAAAGGGGCAUUAAGCCCCCGCUUUGAGCAGGUGAGCCGAGGGAGAAUGAAGGGCAGGUAGCCAAGUCAGCGGGGCCACAGUAUUUGGAACUAAGGUCUCUCUUGUCCCAAGACCAUCUCUCCGGAGUACUCACGGCUUGAGGCCUUGCAGCACACCGGGGUCUUGGAGUGAGAGGGAUGACUGAGGCACAGCCCCGGCCCACAGGGGCUCAGCUGGACGAGGGAGGAGUUGUCAUGGACAGAGGACCAGGGUGUGGGGGCUCCACAGAGCAGGUGACAGCUGAGCGGGCAGGGAAGUGUCUGGAGAAGCUGGCAGGGCCGAGAAGGAGAAGGUUGGUGUUGUAGGCAGAGGGAAAAGCACGUGGAAAAAAACCCAGAACUUUUCAAAGGGCAGAUGUCUCCAGGUGGCAGCAAAAGACCAUGGAGCUAGGAGAGGGUAUCUAGGAUUGGAGUCCGGGACCAGGGGGUGGGCUCUGUGCUGCACACAGUGAGGACCCCAUGACGAGUGUAGGGAAGAAGUGACACAUUGAGAGUCACCUCUGGGGGUCGCAUGCUCUUUGUGAGGGGCAUGGCUCAGCCUCCAGGGGGAGCUGGUGAGAGACCUCUUGGCCCCUGCCCGCCGUGGGAGGAAUAGAUACAGAGUUGGGGCUCUUUUCCCAAGCCCCUACUGCAGCCCAGAGACAGUUGGGACAUGGGCCUCAAGGAGCUCCCAGCCUCCAAGGGGGAAACAGACCCACUAAACAAGCCAUGAAAAUUAAGGAUGGGAGAUCGAGGUGGCACAAAGAUACUAGGAGCAUGAGGGAGGGUAUCUGGGAGAAAUCAAGGAAGGCUUCCUGCAGGAGGUGGCAUCUGAGCUGAUCGUAGAAGUGGGAUUUUUCCAGACAGGGAAGGGCAGAGAGCACAGUUUAAACAUAAGGAGGUAGGACCGAGCCUGGCAUGGUUCAGAAAUGGCCAAAGGAGAGGCUGAAGGGUAGGAUACAUAUAAGGGAAUGAGCCUAAAAAGGAAGGCAGAAUAGGUGACCAUAAUACCGAGACUCACUGAGUACCUGCUACAUGUGAGGCCCGGUUCUAAGCCCCGACUCUGCAGCAACCCAAUGAAGAGGCGGACACGAUUAUCCCAUUUUCCCGCUGAGGGAAACUGAGGCACAGGAAGGAGAAGUAGUUUGCCCCGAGUCACACGACCUGUCAGUGGGACCAUCAGGAUUUCACCAGGCGGCCCAGCUGUGGAGGCUACCCACUGCCAGCUGAGGAGUCCCAACUAUGCACCCCAGCAAAUGAGAAGCUCAGGGCCGGGUCAGUCUUCUAUCAGUGACCAUAAAUAAAGGUGACACGUCAGUCAGGUAGAUACGAACUUGGCUUUAUGGUCCGGCCUUAUCCCAGCAGAGGGCUCAGAGAGUCCCUUUCCCUGCAAGCCUGCCCCUGUGCAAGGUGGGACGCGUGCCAGCCCACCUCUCACUGCCCCUGGAGGGGCUGACGGGGUCAACUCCAGGAAAACGCUUACCACGCCGCGCUUAGUAGGGGCGUGGGAAAUGGGGGCUGUCCUUGCCCCAGGAAGGCUUUGCAAAUGGAACCACUUGGCUUUUUUCCUGAUGCCAUAUUCCGUUGUUUAAAACAGCGACCCAAAACUUAAGAGUAUGAAAAGGAUGUUUUGCAGACAAUGCAUAAUUAACCACUUCUAAACACAGGGUGUGCCAGGCUCCCUUGAAGCUGUUAAUUAUUCUUCAUUAGGGAUCUUAAAUUAAUGUAAAAUAAUCCUGGAGCUCUGCCAGAGGCUGGGGCUGGGGGAGGGGCGGAGCUGCGUAUUUCAACCAGAGAAUGAAAGAAUGUUCCUAGGGACUUCUGCAUGCCGCCUGGGUGGAUGGGGACCCCGCGGACCCUUCAGCUUUGGCCAAGCGGCCAUUGUGGGAGGACACAGCCCUCUCCCCAGUCACCAGAGCCCAGCAGACCUCAGGGUACUCUUUCUUAUUAAUGAAAUAGGUGCAGAGAAUAUAGAGAGUAGUAUACCCACCUCCUGCCUUCAGAGACAAAUUGUCACCGAUGUGGCCCCUGUGGACCUCCCUCAAAUCCCAUCCCACCCCCGCUCCCCCUGGAGCUAAAUCUAAGCAGAGCAACACCCCCCCCCAUUUCAUCUGUACAUUUCCCAUGCACAUUCUUAUAACUUUGUCCACACAAAAGGCUGUUGUACAUGUUUUUAAACCCCAGGUACAUGAUGCAAUCUGCACCUCGCUUUAAAAUUUUUUUUAAUUGUAGUAAAGUACACAUAACUUAAAAUUGACCACCUUAGCCGGGUUUUUUUAUUUUUUUUUUUAACGUUUAUUUGUUUUUGAGACAGAGGGAGACAGAGCGUGAACGGGGGAGGGUCAGAGAGAGGGAGACACAGAAUCCGAAACAGGCUCCAGGCUCUGAGCUGUCAGCACAGAGCCCGACGCAGGGCUUGGACUCACAGACCGCAAGAUCAUGACCAGGCGCCCCCACCUUAGCCAUUUUUAAGUGUCCAGUUCAGUGGCAUGAAGUACCUUCACAUUUUGCUGCACACACAUCAUCACCAUCCAUCUCCAGGAUUCUUUUCAUCUUGCAGCCCCUCCCAAAACUCUGUCCCCACUAAACACGAGCCCGCCGUUCCCUCCUCCCUCAGCCCCCGCAAACCCCAUCCUACUUUCUGUCUCUGAAUUUGACCACUCCGGGGCCUCAUGUACGUAGUAUCAUACAACGUUUGUCCUUUUGUGACCGGCUUAUUUCACUUAGCACAGUAUCCUCGAGGUUCAUCCACGUUGUAGCGCGCCUCGGAAUUUCUUUCCUUUUUAAGGCUGGACAGUACUCCACUGUAUGGAUUGACCACACUUUGUCCAUUCCUCAGUGGACACUUGGGUUCCUUCCACCUUUUGGCUACUGUGAGUAAUAGGACUAUGCACGUGGGUGUACAGAUAUCUCUUCAAGAUGCGACUUGCUGUUUUCACUCAAUGUUUAUUGGUGAGAUUCAUCCAUGCUGCUACGUAUAAUUCUCAUUCACUCGUUUUCACUGAUGUGUGGUAUUCCGUUGUAGAAAUAUGCCUUGUGCAAUGAUCUGUUCUGCUGUUUUAAGGUAUUCAGGUGGUUUCCUGUGUUUUGAUGUUACAGGCAGGGCUGUGGUGAACACUCUCGUGCGUAACUCCUUGCUCCCGUUUGCAGAGUUUCUGCAGGGUUUGUAACCAGGGCAGUACAUGAGUGUCUCAACCGUCACUGAGCUUUGUGAAAGUGCUUUCCAAGGUGGUUUCACAGCGGGCAUCCUCACCAGCAGUGGGUGAGAGUCCCCGUGUCUCCACAUGCUUGCCUUCACUCGGUAUUAAAAGCCAAAUGCUAUUUUUGGUGUCAAAAGGAGAGAAGGAGACAGAGAGGAGAAGGGGAGAGCCGUGUACAUGAUGUGGGACGUCCUGAAGGGGAGGGUGAGACACGCAUGACUGGCUGCCUCGAUCUGUGUAGUCCCGGGUCCCCCAUAGUAAGGAAUUUUCCAGAGUAAUUGUAACUCUGCAUGUUCACUUGCCCCCGGACUGACUCCGUAACCUCACCUCUGAGCAGAGUGUGACUGUUUGGUUACAAAUGUAGCACCAGGACGGAGCGCCUGGGUGGCUCGGUUAACUGUCCAACUUCAGCUCAGGUCAUGAUCUCACGGUGUGUGUGUUCGAGUCCCGCAUCGGGCUCUGCGCUGACAGCGUGGAGUCUGCUUGGGAUCUUCUGUCUCUGUCUCUGUCUCUGUCUCUGUCUCUGUCUCUCUCUCUCUGCCCCUCCCCACUCAUGCGCUCUCUCUCUCUCUCUUUCACGAAAAUAAUAAAUAAACGUUGAAAAAAUUUUUCAACAACAAACAAAUGUAGGACUAGUUCAGAUGAUACCAUUUAUCAACUUGUUUCCUGAUGGGCAGGUUUCACUGACCACCUCUGUUGGAAAUAACCAAAGGCCAGAUGUGCCAAAACCACAGCGUGAAGAAACUCACUUUGGAGAGAGCUCCCUAAGCCUUGGCCACAGUGAGCGAACUUAGCGGGCUGACAGCUUCAAGCAUGCAGCCCCGGGAACUGAACAGGCAGGACUUCUGGGGCCGCUCAGAGGGCACGGGGUGCCCCCACCGCACACCCAAGUCCCAGGCCUCAGCCCGUGGCUGGUGAGGUUCGGUCUGUUGAGGAGAAACUUGGCAGUGAGACCCUGGAUGCUCUGUGACUUGAGGGGACAGGGCAGGCUCUGCCGUCAGGCUGACCGGGAAUCUGAUCUGGCUGGUCCCUUUGAGAAUAAUCAUUGCUAUUAUUCCUUACUUUCACUGGGCAUUUACAGGUGCUAAAUGCUUUUCAUGCCCUGUCUCCAUUCGUCCUCCCACAGCCUUAUGACAUAGAUAACUGUUAUUUUCCCCAUAUGUCUGAUGACGAGAGGCUAAGUGCCCUACCUAAGGUGACAGAGUGUGGGCAGUCCAACCCAAACGAUGGACCCCACGAGGCUGCCCUGCCCCACUCGCUCUCUGCGUUGUUUAAAGCCUCUUGCCUCCGUGCAACUGUUCCACUAGUUGUGGCUGCCUAGCAAAUUACCCCAGAACGUGAGGACUUGAAACAGUGACCGUAUUUGUCCUUCCCGUGGGUCUGGUCUUUGGGUGGGCCCUGUUCUACGCCCAUCAGACGGCGUUUCUUGAAGACUGGAGGCGGGACUUCUCAGGAGCCCCGCCCACCCGCCCGCUCACCCGGUCGCUCACCUGGCAGUUGCUGCUGGCUGUUGGCUGAAACACCCUUACGGGCCCCCCGCAUGUGUCCUGGGCUCCUCACCCAUGGUGGCUACGCCCCCAGAGUUAGCUUUCCUAGAGAGAGCCACGUAGGAGAUGUGUCACCUUUCAUGACCUCAGAAGGCAAGCGGUAUCACUUCCGUUGCGGUCCGUUCCCUGGGGCAUCACAGAGUCCUUCCCACAGCCAAGGGGGGUGCGACUUACGCCCCUUGUCCUGACCAGGAGUUGCAAGGUCUGGCCCAGCUAUGGGGCCAUCCUGGGAGGUACUGUCCGCCCCGGUGACCGACCAAGAUACUUCUGUCCUGAGCCGAAACGGGCUUAGGAAGAACACCUGGGACGCAGUUGGAGCUUGACACAUCACAGAUCUUCUUUUUAGUAAUGAAGGUGAGGGGUGUCCACAUCUUUGGCUAAACAUCCUUCUGAAUGUAUCUGUGACAGUGUUUCUGGAUGAGAUGAACAUUUGAAUCAAUAGACUGAGCAAAGCAGAUUGCCCUCCCCAGCGUGGGUGGGCCUCGUCCAAUCAGUUGAAGGCCUGAGUAGAGCACAAACUCCCCCUGCCUGCCUGCCCUUGAGCCCUGCCUCUAGACUCCCGCCAACACCUCGGCUCUUCCUGGGUCCCGAGCCUCCCAGCAUUUGGACUGAAACUCACCAUCAGCGUUCUGGGUCUCCAGCUUGCCGGCUGCCGACCUCGGGACUUGCCGGCCUUCCUAAUCGUUUAUGAUAAAUAAAUGUGUGCGUGUAUGUGUGUGUGUACACAGACACGUACAUCCCAUUGGUUCUCUUCUUCUGGAUGACCCUGAAUGAUUCACGGCAUGAGGACACAGGGAGAAGAGGCCAUCUAUCCACCAAGGAGAGAGGCCUCAGAGGAAACCAACCCAACCCUGUGGACACCUAGAUCUCAGACCUCUAGCCUCCAGAACAGAAAAAAAAAAAAAAUCAUUUCUGUUGUUUAAGCUCUCUAGUCCGUGAUACUUUGUUAUAGCGAACCUCUCUGUUUUCAUCUGUGAAGUGGACCCAAGGGUCCCUCCCCAGGCUUACCAUGAGACUGUCACGCACAAUGGGGUGAGGCCAGUGAGGCCCUCCCCAUGGGGCACAGGGUGGAAGCAGGCACCAGACAACCCUCAGCAAUCAAGCAAAUCAAAUGUCAAAAUCGUACCCAAAACAGGCUGCUGUUUGAUUUACGGUGCUGCAUCACUGGGCCAUGGGAAUGGUCAUUUCUACAGGGGGGCUGCAGCCCGGUGUCCCCCGCAGGCCAGGUUUGUGAGGGUUGGCAGUGAUGUGCAAAUAGACAGAGAACCCUGAGGCUGUGUAUAUGUGCUUUUAUUAUUAUUAUUAUUAUUAUUAUUAUUAUUAUUUUAAAGCCUUAUCAACCUUUUCACUUUGUUCAAGAUACAGCAUGUUCUUUGGGUAAGUGUAUGUAGGGGUGCACAUUUUUCCCUUCACAGGGGGCUCUGAUGUGGCUCUGCCCUGUGCUGUAGCUGGCCCUGAGCCAGCUGUCCACAUGCUGCGUUGUCCACUUUAAAGGGUCAGGCAGGGUGUUCUCCUCGGAAGGCCAUCCCGAGACUGCGUUUCCCUCUGGAUAUGUGUAAAGGAGGCUUAAGAAUGAGGGAUUGGAGGGGCGCCUGGGUGGCUCAGUCAGUUGAGUGUCUGACUUUAGCUCAAGUCAUGAUCUCACAGUUCAUGGGUUCCAACCCCACAUCGGGCUCACUGCUGCCAGCGUGGAGCCUGCUCUGGAUCCUCUGUCCCCCUCUCCCUCUGCCCCUGCCCUGCUCAUGCUCUCCCUUUCAAAAAUAAAUAAACAUUAAAAAAAAAAAAAGAAUUAGGGAUUGUUUCUCCAUAGAGGACAUCGUUAGGUCAGUUGGCAACUCUGAAUAAGAUUCGAGGAUUAGAUAAUAGUAUUGAAUCAAUGUUGAUGUCCUGACUUUGAAAACCGUACUGUGAUUGUGUCAGAGAACGUCCUUGUUUUAGGGCAGACACUCUGGAGUAGCGGGGGCUUGAGGUGGGCAACUUACUCUCAAAGAAUUCUGGGGAAAAAAAAGUACGUGUGUGUGAGUGGGUGUGGGUGUGCUUGUACGUGUGGAAGUGUGGGGCGGCGGGGGGGAAGAAAGAAAGACAAUAUGAUAAAGCAAAUUGGGUACAGUGUGAACGUGUGGGGAAUCUGGGUGAAGGAUACAAAGGGUUCUUUGUACUCUUCCCCCAACUUUCCUGUAAGGCUGAAAUUAACUCAAGAUACUUUUAAAAAUAGUGUCAGGGGUGACUGGGAGCUAGUUCACUGCUCAGGCUCUCCUUCUGCAGCCUCCUGACCCCAGAUUUCUCCUCUGUCUCCGUCCUAGACCUUCAGGUCUCAGCUGGAAUGCCACCUCCUCGGAGAGGGCCUCCCUGAUCACCCUGUCUGGCACAGCACCACCCUGUCCUACUUGUCAUCUUUCACGUCUGCCAGUUUUAUUUGAUCGCCCUCACCAGCAUCAGAAAUUAUCGUACCAUUUGCCUAACGGUUGUCUCUUCUGCCCCCUCCCUCCAAAUGUCAGCUCUAUGGAACUCUGUCUUGUCCCUGCCCCACACUCCCCUCCAUCCUCUGUGCCUGGCACACAGUAGGGCUGCAGGUCAAAAAACCCCGAGUCUUGUCCUUCCUGGUUUCCCCCUCAGACUUGCCAAGUGACCUUGGGCAGUGUCCCACCCGACUCUGGCCUUCCAUUUCUUCAUUUUGACCCCAGCUCUAAAGCUUUUGGACUGUGUGAUGCAGAAAGCCGCAGGCUGCUGCACCGUCUCAGUGUCCCCCAGCUGAGAUCCUCUCUGCUGCCGGGAUUGCUGGGCCCCUCACUGCUCCGUCCCCGAAGGAGGAAAGAGCAGAAGAAAAUGUGUUUCGUGCACCUGACCUGUCAGGACACUGUCCCCAGACAGUGGGCCCACAAGGAGAGUGGGUUCACUUCUCUCCCCUGGCUUCUUCAGAACAAAGACGGGGCAGAUUUUAAGCCCAGCGCCUUCGGCAGGAAACAGUAUCUGCCUGAAAUUGAAUAACAUUGUCUUGUUUUCAUGGUAACCUCUACUUCAGCAAGUGAUAUGAGUUUUCCAUUUGGGGGAGUGAUAUAAAGUUUCCUUUUAAAAUAAAUGUAUUCAGUAGUGAAAGCCA